rnacentral:rRNA from 1 species
AACGAACGCUGGCGGCAGGCCUAAAACAUGCAAGUCGAACGCUCCAGCAAUGGAGAGUGGCAGACGGGUGAGUAACACGUGGGAACCUACCCUUUGGUUCGGAAUAGCCCAGGGAAACUUGGGGUAAUACCGGAUAAGCCCUUCGGGGGAAAGAUUUAUCGCCAAAGGAUGGGCCCGCGUCGGAUUAGCUAGUUGGUGGGGUAACGGCCUACCAAGGCGACGAUCCGUAGCUGGUCUGAGAGGAUGAUCAGCCACACUGGGACUGAGACACGGCCCAGACUCCUACGGGAGGCAGCAGUUGGGAAUAUUGGACAAUGGGCGCAAGCCUGAUCCAGCCACGCCGCGUGAGUGACGAAGGCCUUCGGGUUGUAAAGCUCUUUUGGCGGGGAUGAUAACGACAGUACCCGCAGAAUAAGCCCCGGCUAACUUCGUGCCAGCCGCCGCGGUAACAC